rnacentral:lncRNA from 1 species
UGCUUUUCUACUUAUAUAAGCCCAUCGGACAGCAUAGACCCUUAACACAGAGUUGCUGAGCAGCUGAGGUAUGCACUUUUUGACUCUUCUGCAUCAAAGCUUUGCACCAGCUCUCUUCACCUGAAGCAAGUGGGCAAAGACCUGGAAAACAGCUGUAAGACUAGACUGGAAGCAUAAGCAUCCCUUGCUGUUGCUAGGUGAGUAUGCUACACAGCCCUGUUUGGGAGAGCUGGGCUCUCAAAUCAUCCUGGCAAAUCUGUCCCUGACUUGCAUAGCAUCGGUAGAGACACCAUCAGCUAAGCAUCUUUUCUGUUCAACGCUUCUUUCCCCAUUAUCUAUCAUCAGGGGAUUAUUCCAAGGGGGAAGAGAAUUCUGUCAGUUUGGCUUUACAGCUAUAUCCAUGAAGCCAAAAUGCUACUAA